CUAGGUGAAAUUCAAGAGUGGACAGAAUAGAACCAUGGAGUAUUCAGUGCCAGGGAAAUGGCCAUCAGGAGCCAAGGAACAAGAAACUACUUCUGGAAAGAAGAGGCACACAGGUACGAUAUGAAAGGCAGCCCAGAAAAUGGCUAAGGAUUCUCAAAAAGACAAUGCAGAGACCCCUUCACUACAAGACAAGAGGCGCCCCUCUCAGGAUCUGCCACUAUGUACUCCCCUUGGCUCCAGGCCAACACAUAGCGUUAAGGUGCAGCAUAAGACAACUAGAGAAGUGUUGGGCUUGCCAAGGAAGGAAAGUGAAUAUGCACACAUGGAGUCAAUUUGCACCAGAAGGAAACUGGGGAGUACUACAUGCCUGGAUUCUAAAGGUAUUUGAUUAAGGAGAGGUGGGAUAGAAUAUAAAAAAGGACAAGAGAGCAUUUACUAUUAAAGCCCUCUCCAAGGAUAUAGGAUGUGAUACCCUGGCAAGAAUCUUGGACAAAGUAUAAAUGUUCUGCUGGGAUAGCUUGUGAAACUUGGAGAAAGCAGUGACCUAAAUGAAAUGAACUUGAAAUGCCAGAAAUAUCAUGGCAGGCAGUAAAAGUAGGGAGCAAAAGGGUUAGGAAAGUUGGCAUGCAAGAACAUAUAUACUGUGUAAGUCUAGGAAAUACACCAGAUGAAUACAUCCUAUGGGAAGGCCUGGAGGGCAUGGCAAUUACCAAAGUGAGUGAGAUGGGUACCCACAUCACUGAGAAGUUCAGAAGAGGCAUUCUCCUGUAAAUUAAGGCUGAUAGUAGGAGAUGCUGUUGUGGAACUGGACUCAAUAAUGGCUAUGUGGAUGAUAGGCUUCCUCCUUCCAUCUAUCCAAAGUGGCCACCAUUUAACCAUAGGAGGCAAGACGGGCCCAAUUAUCAAAUGAAGUGGCAAAGGCAGAGUAGCAUUCAGGGACUUGAUCCAUGGAAAGCUAUAAAGAUGAUUAAUAGAACAUGGUAUUCUCAGGGGCAAAAUAAAUGUAUAGCCUGCAGUGAUGUAAAAUCUACAAACAAAAUAGUUCAGGAAAAGAUAAUCAAGAGACUGAGGGCCACUACUACAAUAAAAAGUCACAAGCCCUGUCCAUUUUCCACAUUUACCCCAGUUUUGCAACACAGAACCCACUGACUUAAAGAGAGGUGAGUUUUCCAGAGGGAACAGACCUGCAAUACUAUGGCAAAUGCCUAUGGUAAAAAUUACCCUGAUUCAUUUCUUGAUUAGAUGCAGCUUAGAUGUCCUUUACUUAGGUAAUUAUAAACUGUGGAAAGAGAAUUUUGAGAACAAUUGAAUACAUUAGGCACUGAUACUUGAUCAUCCGAACAUCGGGGCCUCCCUGUUAGAGUAAGGGCACUCAGAGUGGGUAGAACUCAGGUAAUAAAUUAUAAUCCUGGCUGAGAUCCAGCUUACAAAAAUCCAAUAGGUUCACAGACCCACCAUCAACCAUUUCAUUAGUAAAAUAUGAUUGAUUGGAUAUAAGUGGUAGUUUGCCCACCCUACUCCCAACCUUGGUUGAUUGGACUGUGGGGUAAGAGAUAUCAUUCUAUAGAAAAUCAAGUGGAAACCAAGAAGACUCAGUCAAAAUAGUCAAAAACAAGACCACAUUCCUGGUGAAUGGGCAGAGAU
rnacentral:lncRNA from 1 species